rnacentral:tRNA from 1 species
UGCGUAAACAGAGAAUCGAACUCUGGGCUCCCCGACGCUGCUCGAAUGGCAACGGAGAAUUUUACCACUAAACCAUUUACGC